AUUGAACGCUGGCGGCAGGCCUAACACAUGCAAGUCGAACGAGUGGCGGACGGGUGAGUAAUGUCUUGGAAACUGCCCGAUGGAGGGGGAUAACUACUGGAAACGGUAGCUAAUACCGCAUACCAUCGGAUGUGCCCAGAUGGGAUUAGCUAGUAGGUGGGGUAAUGGCUCACCUAGGCGACGCUCCCUAGCUGGGCUGAGAGGAUGACCAGCCACACUGGAAAUGAGACACGGUCCAGAAUCCUACGGGAGUCAGCAGUGGGGAAUAUUGGACAAGGGGCGCAAGCCUGAUGCAGCCAUGCCGCGUGUAUGAAGAAGGCCUGCGGGUUGUAAAGUACUAUCAGAGAGGAGGCGUUACUCGAAGAAGAAGCACCGGCUAACUACGUGCCAGCAGCCGCGGUAAUAC
rnacentral:rRNA from 1 species